UAGCCUCCGGAAACGGGGAUUAAUACCGGACAUGACUCCUCACUGCAUGGUGGGGGGUGGAAAGUUUUUCGGCCAGGGAGGGGCUCGCGGCCUAUCAGCUUGUUGGGGGGGUAACGGCCCACCAAGGCGACGACGGGUAGCCGGCCUGAGAGGGCGACCGGCCACACUGGGACUGAGACACGGCCCAGACUCCUACGGGAGGCAGCAGUGGGGAAUAUUGCACAAUGGGGGAAACCCUGAUGCAGCGACGCCGCGUGCGGGAUGAAGGCCUUCGGGUUGUAAACCGCUUUCAGCAGGGACGAAGCGAGAGUGACGGUACCUGCAGAAGAAGCGCCGGCUAACUACGUGCCAGCAGCCGCGGUAAUACGUAGGGCGCAAGCGUUGUCCGGAAUUAUUGGGCGUAAAGAGCUCGUAGGCGGCCUGUUGCGUCUGCUGUGAAAUCCCGGGGCUUAACCCCGGGCCUGCAGUGGAUACGGGCAGGCUGGAGGCAGGCAGGGGAGAACGGAAUUCCCGGUGUAGCGGUGAAAUGCGCAGAUAUCGGGAGGAACACCGGUGGCGAAGGCGGUUCUCUGGGCCUGUACUGACGCUG
rnacentral:rRNA from 1 species